UAUUGUUGCUGUUAACCAUAGAACAACAGGUAGGGGUGGGAGACAUGGGGGAUGAGAAGGAGAUGGCAUAGCCACACCCUGAGUUCAGAAGAGCAGAAGAUCCCAUCUAAAAUUCCCAAUGAUGGCAGCCAUUCUCUCCCCAGGCAUCUGACUGGCACCUCAGUGAUGGGAGUGAAAUAGCAUUUAUUAUCUGGUGACAUUUCGCAGGCAGCUUUUUACCUCCGCUUCCCCUGAGAUGUGAUAACAAAAGAUUGUCUGAUCUUCCUUUUACCCAUCUCCCCAGCUCCCUACCACCCCCAGUUCCCUUUCAUCCCUGCGUUUGAGGGCAACUGUUCUUCUGUCUCGAGGUUGGGCUGGCCAGAGCAAACAUAGCUUUCCCGGGGGAGACCAGGCCAUCUUUCUUCCUCUUACUUCAAAGGGGCUUUGGAACGCUCCACCCCAUGGGCUGAACAGAAUGUAUUUCAUUUUUUAGGAGGCUGGAAUCAGCUGCCGAGAAGGGCAGGGGCACCUUGGGCUCUCCUUCCCUUCCCCAUCUCCAGGACUCAGUAAGGAGGGAGGGCAUGAAAUCUCAGGCUCCUGGGCGGGGCUGGGGAGGCCGGCCUUGUCACAGGCAGGAGGGGCCGCAUUCCUUCCUCAGCAGCUGGUGGAGCUGGGCCUGAGCAGGACUUCCCCAAAGGACUGAGAAGGAAGCCUCCACUCUGUCGUCGCUCUCUGAGCUGCACAAUAGAAUGGAAAAGAGCACUGAAUCAGGAGUAAAAAGAGCUGGGUGUUGACUUGGUACAUCCACAAACUAGCUGUGUAACCUUGUGGAUGCCGUGAAUGUCUCUGUGCUUCAGCCUCCUCGCCUGCAAGAAGUAUGGCAGAUUCACAUCUUGAAUUAUAUGGUGCCCAACCGUAUUAGUGAUUCUGAUUCCCUGGUGAAUAUGGCAACCAGUGAAUUGGGAAGUGGGGGUGAGUAUCAGCUAAAGAAAUGAAAGCACCAGCCUGGCAGGUAAACAGUUCACAGUCCCCCAGAGAUGGCACAGAAGGGCUGUAGUACUAGGGGAUGGGAGACUUGGCAUCUUAGACAAGUCACUGUUCCUGUCUUGGCCUUGGAAUUUUGAUCUGGAAAAUGGGGAUGGGGAAUUGUGGAUGACUAAAGAUUUCUGAGCUGCCUUCCAGCUCUGCUGUUCUGUGAUGGCCCAUGUGAGUCACAGGUAGGUGCUUCUGUGGUGGCCGGCUGGCCGUUUAUCUGGUGGCCUCCCCUCCUCCCUCCCUGCGGGUGGCCCCUCUCCCACACCCUUUCUAACACACUGGGCAUAACUGCUUUACAGCAUCCAUCUGGCUGCUCUUGGUGUGUCUCUGUGUGAGCAACUUCAGAACAAGACUUCUCAACUUUUAAAAAAAGCCUGAUUAAAAAAUUCUCUGUUGAUUAUUAAACAUGCUCAUUGUAGGGAAAAACAAAAUUCAUAAAGCAGAUAAAGAAUUCUAAUAAAUCUGAGACAUCUACUGUUAGCAUUUUGUUAUCUUUUCUUUUAGUCUCUUCUCU
rnacentral:lncRNA from 10 species